GACGAACGCUGGCGGCGUGCAUAAUACAUGCAAGUCGAACGCAGUGGGGACGGGUGAGUAACACGUGGGUAACCUCCCAUCAGAGGGGAUAACACUUGGAAACAGGUGCUAAACCGAUACUGAUGGAUGGACCCGCGGUGCAUUAGCUAGUUGGAGAGGUAACGGCUCACCAAGGCCACGAUGCAUGGCCGACCGUAAAGGGCAAUAUGCCACACUAGGACGGAGACACGGCCCAGACUCCUGCGGAAGGUAGCAGUAGGGAAUCUUCGGCGAGGGCCGAAAGUCUGACCGAGCAACGCCGCGUGAGUGAAGAAAGUUUUCGGAUCGUAAAACUCUGUUGUUAGAGAAGCGGUAUCUAACCAGAGAGCCACGGCUAACUACGUGCCGGCAGCCGCGGUAAUUC
rnacentral:rRNA from 1 species